CCGUCCUCAACGGGGUGCUGAUAAACAUACGCAAAACCAUUCGUGAAGUGUAUGGGCUGAGAAAAUACCCGUCGAACCUGAUCCGGAUAACGCCGGCGAAGGGAUUUGAGACUGCUUCUCAA
rnacentral:ncRNA from 2 species